AGAUUGAUAAGACUUUCAUGUAGCCUAAUGAGUAAAUUUAAUCAACUUUAGGAGAACAAGAAGGAAAUGUUACCGGAAGAUUUUCGGUGGUCCUUUUUGCUUUUGGCGUGUACUUCUGCAUGCAUGAGAUCAUGAAGGCUAGUUUGUGGUUGCGGGCUAGUUUGUGGGCUAGUUUGUUGUUGUGUUUGUGGCUGUGGGUAUGGAGGGUUUGGAAGUUGCUGGUUACAUGGAGCUUGUUGGAGGCUAGAAGGUGGAAUUUCUGUUUCAGCAAACCGUUGUGAGCUAGCAUGUGGCAAUGAUUGAUUAGCCAUUGUCGAAUGUUGGCUAUGAUCUUGUGAUGAUUGUGAGGAGUCAGACGGUAAAUGCAGGUUACCUGGUGUUGACCUUAAAGGAUUUAAUUGUAGUUGACGGCUUACCCAUGAUUGUAGACUACCUGAAGAUGAUUUUCGGCCUUCCACAUUUCGUCGGCCACCCGGUGCAGGUUGAUGAUUAGGUGAAGAUUUUAGAUUCUCUGAUGGCAGUUGUUGUGGAUGCUGUUGACCAGUUGAUGGAGGUUGUGAUCCAUUCGUUGUUGAUCGAUGACCAGGUCGAUGGUUAAUUGAGGAUUCUCGAACAUUUGGUGUGGGUUGUUGACAAGCUGAUGACGGUUGAUGGUUGCCUGAAGGGAGCUGCUGGUGGGAG
rnacentral:lncRNA from 1 species